GGAAAAGUCCAAAACUCAGUCGCUGCCCUGUGAGUGCUGGGGAUGGGAAACAGCAGUGCGCUCGGACCUUCCUUUGGGAAAUUGCCUGGAAACUGGGUGUUAACUCCUUUACAGAUGGCUUGGAGCAUGCAGAUGCUCAGCCCAGCCAGGUCUUCACCCUUCCUAAUGAGCGGGCUUGGUGACCUCUUGGACAGGACGCCUGGAAGCCCUGCCAGCGGAGGAUGAGGAGGCAGCUUUGUGGGGCAGCAGCGCCAUCUCCAGCCAGCCUCCUGCGGGCAGUUCAGACGCUUCUCCACCCCAUGGUACCUCUUAGUCUUCAGUCACUCCUUUGGAAACAACUCACCACUUGAGUAUUUUACACGUUUGUGGAUUUUUUUUUUUUAAUGUGUUGCCUUUAUUAAAUGUGUUUGUUCCAAGACAGCCUUACUGCCUGCUGUCAACACUUCACUCUUGUACAACUUCUUGUCUUUUGUUGACCUCUAGCUUUGGUGAUGAGUUAGCCACUGUCUCAGCUUUCCUAUCUUUUGUGUCAAGCAAUAAUGAAGGAGGCAGAGUCUUGGUUCAUUUUCCUGUUCACCUGGCAUUGUCUCAAGUACAUGUUUGGAGACCACCAGCCUGCUGAGAUCUCCAAAGGGCUUUCUAUGGAUUUCUGCAUUUCAUAUUAUUAUACUUCUAAAUACUUUGAGUAGAUUCCUACUUGUGCUCUGAGAUUUGUGACAUGAUAAUGAUGGGUUAAAUAUAAUUUAUUUAUUUCUUUUAUUAGUGAGAGCUCAGACAGGUGAGUGUCUUCAGACUGGCAGUGUCUUAAAACAGAGACGGCUGUUGGUGUGCUGACUCAGCAUUACUUCCACCUCACAUUCAGAACAUCAAAUGUGAUAGCUUCCACUCUUUGGUCACUUGAAUUCCUGAUAUAAAUAUCUCUGCAAAAUGAUGGAAUAGUGGCAUGUUUUCAUGAAGUCACAGUGGAGAUGCUGCUGCAUUUGAAGUACGUGUAGAUAAAUUAAACAUCAUUUUACUUCUGCCAUCUACCUCCCUACUGCUGUCCCCAGUUCUCCCCUUUAUUUGGAAUAGCUUCUAACGCAGGUUCAUCUGAUAAAAUGGUGGAAAUAUGUGCUUAGUGUCCCUGCUGUGGUGGUUAGAAGCUGCUGGUCAGUUGUGAGGAGUUAGAGCCUCAUACCUUUGAGCUGGAGUUUCAGGCUCUGUUUGCAGAUGGAGAGUAAAGUGUGCCUUCAGCUGGCUGUCACCACGACUAGUGGGUACACAAGGAAGUUUUGGUUGUUCAGGGUGGAACAGACAAACAGAGUGCAGUGCAAAGUCAAAUUUGGGAAUUCAGUGCUGCAGAAUGUAGUGGGGAUGAGAAGUAUAAGUAUUUAGAUGAGAUAUUGGGACAGAAGUUCUGCCCUGUGAGGGUGCUGAGGCGCUGACACAGGGUGCCCAGAGAAGCUGUGGCUGCCCCAUCCCUGGCAGUGUUCAAGGCCAGGUUGGACACAGGGGCUUGGAGCAACCUGCUCUAGUAGAAGGUGUCCCUGCCCGUGGUUGGAGCUGGAGGAGCUUUAAGGUCCCUUCAUCCCAAACUAUUCUGUGAUUCUAUUUUUCAAAAUGGGGCUGGUUAAAAGUGGUCUGAUAUAUCUGCUAACUCAGGGAGAUUUUAAGUUGCUGUAAAUAAGAAAGUUAUGCCAAGGAAAAAUUCCUUUUCUAUGUGCUCUGUCUCUUAAGAAUUGGUCAAAGAUGGAGAAAAUAAAUGCUGGGCUAGGUGAAACACUGGUCUGAUGUAAUGGGAUUUCAUUUACUCUAACAGUUGUGAACCAAACUACUUUUGAAAAGCAGUCCCAAAUUUAUCUCUCAAAAACCUGUAUCUGUGUGCAGGAUGUGCAAAUACUCUACCAACUGUGGCACAACUGCUUAAACACUGCACCUCCUGCAGGGAUGGGCCCCUGGGAGGAUGGAGUAUUGUGGCUUCAGCCUCUUCUAUAUGUUGUCUUGUGUGGUGCAGAAGCAAAUGCUGUUGGGAUGAUCCUGUUACACAUGGUUGCUCAUGGGCAGCCUGCCUUGAUCUGUGAUGCUUAUGGAAAUGUAAUUGUGGAUUACUGGAGUUUGGAGUGGAAAACACAAUGUCUGCAAAAACAUAAAAGAGGCAAUUCUUGCUGAGAUUCCCAACUUAACUGCAAUGCUGCUACAGGGAUUGAAAUGUUCCACUCCCACAACAAAGCCUGGCCUCUUCAUGCUCUGUCUACAAAGGAAAACUGUAGGAUAAUGAGAUUUUAACGAAGUCAGUAUACCACUAACAUGUUUUAAAGUGGGAGAUUUCCUUCUUGACAGGCUGCUAAUUUGGAAAAUAUGCCACAAAUAUAAAGCAGAUACUGUAGGGUAAAAAGAAUGAAAUCUUUAAAAUGACAAGUUUUGAGGGUUUGUUUGUUGGGUUGGUUUGUUUUUCUUUGAGUCUUUUCUGUAUCUGCAGAGCUUUUGGUAUUUCCCCACUUCCCAGUUUAGAAAUGCAAAGUACUCAUAAUAGAAAUGAGUAUUACAGUAGGAUUCCUGAUGGGAAAGGGACUGCUUUCUUAAAUUAAAAUACAAGGCCACUUGUGAUUUAUAUGUCACCAGGUUAUCUUCUGUGGACUGGCUGAAACAAUGAUGUGUUAUGUAGCUGCAUUCUUACAUGUUAAAUAUAAACCUUACAGGUCCUUGUUUUUCUGCCUGUCUCCGUGCAAUCUGUUUUUAUCAUGUCCUGUGCUCCAUGUUGUCAUCCUUCCCCCUUCUGCUUGUCAAUUCCUUGUGCCUGAUUCUCUGUCACUUUUCGUUCCUGGGACAAUCCCCUUUUUCAGGAAGCCCUCUCUUUUUAACCUGACAGCUUUAGCCUCUCCCAAUGCCUCCUGUUCACAAAAUUGAUGUGCUGUUUGUCAAAGUUGAACUGUAAGCUCCUCAUGGCAGGCCUGUGUCAUCUCUGUGUGUGUAAGGUGAUGUGCACUCUUGCAGUAAUAUCUACAAAUAAAGGUGGUAUUAA
rnacentral:lncRNA from 1 species